UAUGACCUGGGCUACACACGUGCUACAAUGGGAAGUACAACGAGUUGCGAAGUCGCGAGGCUAAGCUAAUCUCUUAAAGCUUCUCUCAGUUCGGAUUGCAGGCUGCAACUCGCCUGCAUGAAGCCGGAAUCGCUAGUAAUCGCGGAUCAGCACGCCGCGGUGAAUACGUUCCCGGGCCUUGUACACACCGCCCGUCACACCACGAGAGUUUGUAACACCCGAAGUCGGUGAGGUAACCUUUU
rnacentral:rRNA from 3 species